GAUGAACGCUAGCGGCAGGCCUAACACAUGCAAGUCGAGGGGUAACAUAGAGAAGCUUGCUUUUCUGAUGACGACCGGCGCACGGGUGCGUAACGCGUAUGCAACCUACCUCUUACUGGAGGAUAGCCCGAAGAAAUUCGGAUUAAGACUCCAUAGUAUUUCGAUUUCGCAUGAUUUUGAAAUUAAAGGUUACGGUAAGAGAUGGGCAUGCGUCCUAUUAGCUAGAUGGUAAGGUAACGGCUUACCAUGGCAACGAUAGGUAGGGGGCCUGAGAGGGUGAUCCCCCACACUGGUACUGAGACACGGACCAGACUCCUACGGGAGGCAGCAGUGAGGAAUAUUGGGCAAUGGAGGCAACUCUGACCCAGCCAUGCCGCGUGCAGGAAGACGGUCCUAUGGAUUGUAAACUGCUUUUAUUUGUGAAUAAACUCCGGUACGUGUACCGGCCUGAAUGUAGCAAAUGAAUAAGCACCGGCUAACUCCGUGCCAGCAGCCGCGGUAAUACGGAGGGUGCAAGCGUUAUCCGGAAUCAUUGGGUUUAAAGGGUCCGCAGGCGGACGUAUAAGUCAGUGGUGAAAUCCUACAGCUUAACUGUAGAAC
rnacentral:rRNA from 1 species